rnacentral:rRNA from 1 species
GUAGGGAAUUUUGCGCAAUGGGGGAAACCCUGACGCAGCAACACCGCGUGAAUGUUAAGCCCUUCGGGGUGUAAAGUUCUGUCGCAGGGGACGAAUCUUUUUGACGGUACCCUGAAAGGAAGCACCGGCUAACUCCGUGCCAGCAGCCGCGGUAAUACGGGGGGUGCAAGCGUUGUCCGGAAUCAUUGGGCGUAAAGCGUUCGUAGGCUGUAUGUCAAGUCUGGUGUUAAAGCCCGGGGCUCAACUCCGGAUCAGCACUGGAUACUGGCAAACUAGAAUAUGGUAGAGGUAAAGGGAAUUCCUGGUGUAGCGGUGAAAUGCGUAGAUAUCAGGAGGAACAUCGGUGGCGAAAGCGCUUUACUGGACCAUUAUUGACGCUGAGGAACGAAAGCCGGGGGAGCAAAUGGGAUUAGAUACCCUAGUAGUCC